rnacentral:rRNA from 1 species
AUUGAACGCUGGCGGCAUGCUUUACACAUGCAAGUCGAACGGCAGCGCGGGCUUCGGCCUGGCGGCGAGUGGCGAACGGGUGAGUAAUACAUCGGAACGUGCCCAGUAGUGGGGGAUAGCUCGGCGAAAGCCGGAUUAAUACCGCAUACGACCUGAGGGUGAAAGCGGGGGAUCUUCGGACCUCGCGCUAUUGGAGCGGCCGAUGGCAGAUUAGCUAGUUGGUGGGGUAAAGGCCUACCAAGGCGACGAUCUGUAGCUGGUCUGAGAGGACGACCAGCCACACUGGGACUGAGACACGGCCCAGACUCCUACGGGAGGCAGCAGUGGGGAAUUUUGGACAAUGGGCGAAAGCCUGAUCCAGCAAUGCCGCGUGUGUGAUGAAGGCCUUCGGGUUGUAAAGCACUUUUGGCGGGAACGAAAAGGACUGUGCCAAUACCAGGGUUCGAUGACGGUACCCGCAGAAUAAGCACCGGCUAACUACGUG